UUGCCUAUUUAUUUGCCUUCUCCCAGCCAAUCAGCUCCCUGCCUGUUCCCCUGUCCACCCACCUGUUUCUGAUACCCAGAUAGUUUGUGUUUUUGACCUGUUUUGCAUCCUGACCUGCUUUUCAGGUGGAAAAACCUCUGAAGGUAAUAAAAUAAACUCAGGUUUUUGCUGGCGGGAGACUUCAACAAGCUGUCCUUGGGGAAGAACCUCAGCCACAUCAGAGGUGAAUGACUUCGACAUGCUGAUAUUUGAUAUUUAAUAAAAGGCCAAUAUCAUCCCAGUGCAUCAGCCCAGCCCGGCUGAGACUGACUGCUGGGAGGACCAGAGCUCACACCGAACACUGAGUCACGGCAGCGGGGGUGCAGGGAGAGCGGCUGAGACCUCAUGGAGAUGUCGAGGAGCACUCUGUGCUCCUCCACAGCAGCAAAACAUCACGUUACCAAGACAACCCCCAUGCUACACUUAUUUCUGUGCACUUUCUUAUUCGCUAUUUGUUCCACUUUCCCUCCACUUAAAGUGCCUUUUGAAUACCUCGACUUUUAACUAGUGGGAUGCCAGCGUUGCCGCACAGCCCAGAGGGAAAUGUUCAGCAACAGGCAGAACACAUUUACCAGGAUUAAAUCCAUGUUAUUGUUAGUCACUAUUUAAGUAAAGUUAACUCCAGGGUAGUUACUAUUAUGGUUCAAGCAGCAGAUUAUAUCCGUAUUCCAGUUAGUUAGCUGCCCUUCACCAGCUGCCAGUGCAAGUCAGGCCUGAUUUUUUUGGACUAGUGCCUAUCUCCAUAUCUAAGCUUUGAACAAGAUCCUCCAGACUGUAUAAUCUAUUUUAAACGAUGAGAACUUUUUAAUGUUCUGGACCCCCAAGUUGACACCAACCUCCAUUUGAAGUAAUUUUGCCCUCAGGACCCUAAUUUCAAGAUAUUUUGGAUUGUGUUACUGUUAUGCCAUGUUUGCACAUUGACAAAUCAAAUCACAGUGGUGAGAUAAUGUGAAGAUCACAUGAACUCACAAUUUAAUUUGUUGUGUUUUAGUUGCAAGAAAAUUCACAGAGCUUGAAUGGUCAUUUGGCUGGUACAGAAUAAAAUGGUUAUUGUGGUCAGCUAAGGUGAUGUGUGUCACACUAGCGUGACAACUGAUGUGUUGUGGCGCGGCUGCUUUCUGAAAGAAGUCAUCAACGUUAAUUGUUACCACCGAUCGGUCCAACAAUCCUCAGUUCCCCUUGGGCAGCACUAGAUGCCUGUAAGGCCCUAGAGGACCCCUGGGGGUCCUGGGACACACUUUGACAAAAUAUGUUUUGACACUUUUAGUAGUAACAACAGCAGUAUUAUUAGAGAUACCAGUUACAGAUGUAGUAAUAGUAGUGCAGGUAAUAUGAGUAACAGUUACAACAGUGGUCACAGAAGUAUAGCAGUAGCAGUAGUGGUGGUAACAAUAGUUGCAGUGUUGAUACUGAUUGUGGUAGCAGUUAUGUGAUAUUAUUGUUUUAUUGCCAUUAUACAUGAACCAUUAAGAUGAGGAAAAUAAACUGUACUGUAACUGUA